rnacentral:rRNA from 1 species
CCUACGGGGUGCUGUAGUGAGGAAUAUUGGUCAAUGGGCGGAAGCCUGAACCAGCCAAGUAGCGUGCGGGAUGAAGGCCCUACGGGUCGUAAACCGCUUUUGCACGGGGAUAACACCCUCCACUUGUGGAGGUCUGCAGGUACCGUGCGAAUAAGGGCCGGCUAAUUCCGGGCCAGCAGCCGCGGUAAUACGGAAGGCCCGAGCGUUAGCCGGAUUCAUUGGGCUUAAAGGGAGCGUAGGCGGGCGUUCAAGUCAGCUGUAAAAUCGCGCGGCUCAACCGCGCCCCGCAGUUGAAACUGGAUGCCUUGAGGUCACAACAGGCAGGCGGAAUUCGUGGUGUAGCGGUGAAAUGCAUAGAUAUCACGAGGAACCCCGAUUGCGAAGGCAGCCUGCCGGGGUGCGACUGAUGCUGAGGCUCGAAGGUGCGGGUAUCAAACAGGAUUAGAUACCCCAGUAGUC